CGGCCUUGGGGGGCGGCCUACACAUGCAAGUCGAGCGGUAGCACAAGAGAGCUUGCUCUCUGGGUGACGAGCGGCGGACGGGUGAGUAAUGUCUGGGAAACUGCCUGAUGGAGGGGGAUAACUACUGGAAACGGUAGCUAAUACCGCAUGACGUCUUCGGACCAAAGUGGGGGACCUUCGGGCCUCACGCCAUCAGAUGUGCCCAGAUGGGAUUAGCUAGUAGGUGGGGUAAUGGCUCACCUAGGCGACGAUCUCUAGCUGGUCUGAGAGGAUGACCAGCCACACUGGAACUGAGACACGGUCCAGACUCCUACGGGAGGCAGCAGUGGGGAAUAUUGCACAAUGGGCGCAAGCCUGAUGCAGCCAUGCCGCGUGUAUGAAGAAGGCCUUCGGGUUGUAAAGUACUUUCAGCGAGGAGGAAGGCAUUAAGGUUAAUAACCUUGGUGAUUGACGUUACUCGCAGAAGAAGCACCGGCUAACUCCGUGCCAGCAGCCGCGGUAAUACGGAGGGUGCAAGCGUUAAUCGGAAUUACUGGGCGUAAAGCGCACGCAGGCGGUUUGUUAAGUCAGAUGUGAAAUCCCCGAGCUUAACUUGGGAACUGCAUUUGAAACUGGCAAGCUAGAGUCUUGUAGAGGGGGGUAGAACUCCAUGGGGUA
rnacentral:rRNA from 1 species